CCUGCCACCUAUUACACCUAUGCAUGACAAGUACAGACCUUUUUAAAACAUCUUAUAAUUAACACAUUUUACUGCCCAAUAUUGAAACAUGCACGAAUGUUUUAUGUAUAAACAUUGUUGUACAACAGGUAUACAUCUUAACCAGACAGUACUGCACUUUUAAUAACCUUUAAUGUUUAUAACAUACCGUUGUAGGAAAGACUGUAUUCGUAUAAAAUAAGACAGUUUUGAAACGCACAUGCCCAUUUUCCCAGAAAAGCCUUUCUCCACGACAGACCCUGGGGUGAGACAGAAAACGAGAGCUUCCCGUUCAUUAAGGGAUAAAGGGCCUGGUUAUAGGUUUUGACAUCAUGCCGUUUCCAAUUCCACCCAAGCCCCAGCUCCUUGAAGUUCACAGUGGAAGAGAAGCAGGGGUCCAUUGUGACCAUGGAGGAGGACACUGGCACUGCAGAAGGCCAGAAACGACAGAAACCGAAUAAAUGCAAAGUGGAAGAAAGUGGCGGAGCACCUGGGUCCACCUACCUACCAUCUCCUGAAGCCAACUCCUGUCCCUAUACCUGUGAAGGAGUUGUCUCAUUCUCUCUCCUCCUCCAUCUAUCCCCCCCUCACUUAUCUCCAUAAUAAUAAAUCCUCU